CCUACGGGUGGCAGCAGUGGGGAAUAUUGCACAAUGGGCGAAAGCCUGAUGCAGCAACGCAGCGUGAAGGAUGAAGGGUUUCGGCUCGUAAACUUCUAUCAACAGGGACGAAAGAAAUGACGGUACCUGAAUAAGAAGCCUCGGCUAACUACGUGCCAGCCGCCGCGGUCAUACGUAGGGGGCACGCGUUAUCCGGAAUUACUGGGGGUAACGGGUGAGUAGGCGGCAUGGUAAGCCAGAUGUGAAAGCCUGGGGCGUAACCCGAGGAUUGCAUUUGAAACUAUCAAGCUAGAGUACAGGAGAGGAAAGCGGAAUUCCUAGUGUAGCGGUGAAAUGCGUAGAUAUUAGGAAGAACACCAGUGGCGAAGGCGGGUGUCUGGACUGAAACUGACGCUGAGGCACGAAAGCGUGGGGAGCGAACAGGAUUAGAUACCCCUGUAGUC
rnacentral:rRNA from 1 species